rnacentral:rRNA from 1 species
UACGUAGGGUGCGAGCGUUAAUCGGAAUUACUGGGCGUAAAGCGUGCGCAGGCGGUUCGCCAAGUCAGGUGUGAAAUCCCCGGGCUUAACCUGGGAAUUGCGCUUGAAACUAGCGAGCUUGAGUGUGGCAGAGGGGGGUGGAAUUCCACGUGUAGCAGUGAAAUGCGUAGAGAUGUGGAGGAACACCAAUGGCGAAGGCAGCCCCCUGGGUCAACACUGACGCUCAUGCACGAAAGCGUGGGGAGCAAACAGG